GACGAACGCUGGCGGCGUGCCUAAUACAUGCAAGUCGAACGCAGUUGCGAACGGGUGAGUAACGCGUAGGUAACUGCCUCCUAGCGGGGGAUAACUAUUGGAAACGAUAGCUAAUACCGCAUACUGUUAGAUGGACCUGCGUUGUAUUAGCUAGUUGGUGAGUUAAAGGCUCACCACGGCGACGAUAAGUGGCCGACCUGAGCUGUUGUUCGGGCACGCUGGGACUCAGACACGGCCCAGACUCCUACGGGAGGAUGCAGUAGGGAAUCGUCUGGAAUGGAGGGAAGUCUGACCUAGCAACGCCGCGUGAGUGAAGGAGGUGUUCGGAUGGUAAAGCUCUGUAGUUAGAGAAGCGGGAACUAACCAGAAAGGGACGGCUAACUAAGUGCCAGCAGCCGCGGUUAAUUC
rnacentral:rRNA from 1 species